CAUCUAGAGCAGUGGAAGAAAGGGUCGACAUGUUGUCCCCUUAAUUUAUACCCCCUACCUACAGUAGGUACCCCAGUGGCCAUUGUCUGAUGGCAAGUGAAUUUUAUUCAGGGCAACUAAUUUUCCUAUCCAACUUGGCAAAUUGAACUUGCCCUAAGGACAAGUGGUCAAAAUAGUAAAGUUAUACCACUGACUACUGAGUAAAGUAUAUGAGCUACAGUAUCAUGGUAAUAAAAACUCUGGAAUAAGGUAUGCGGUUAUUUUCAAAAAAAUUACAUCAUCACUCAUCAAAUAGGUUGUUGAAGAAGUUUGAAGGAACCUCAAUCAACCCGAAGAAGCAGAAGAAAGCGCAUACAUGAGGAAUUGUGAAAAUCAGCAGCUGAUUGACCAAUUGGACCCACUUAUUUACUAUGGUAUUUCAAAAGGAGUUAUGAAGCCACCACAUGAACAGUGAUCUGGUAAUUAAAUCAUAUCAUUUUGUUUUUUGAUUAAUUAGAGUACCGGUACCAACAUUGGAUUCAUUAGCACCGACAUUAGGUGUCGUUAAUAGAAAAUAAUGAAUGAAAAUUGCAUUUUGGUUUAUACUGUACCGGUAACUAAUAAAUGAUAUGAAAAAUCAAAAUUGCAUUGUUUAGCUCUCAAAAUAUCACAAAGCUUUUAUUAAAAAUGUAACUUAAUUAAUAUUAUUUUUUAUGUAUGUAAUUCUAUAGAAAGUACUUCUGAUCACCUAAUGAAGAACAUUUAAUUCACUCUUCAAAUCAAAAAGUCAACCUGCUAAGAGCAAACUGGACAUCAUAAACUUUGUUGAGGUGAGGUUAUAGUUUCAUUUUAUAAAAUUCAUUUAGUAAGGCCUGAAUCAAAUUUAGUGUACAUAUACAUCUUCUUAGUUUUGAGCUUUCCUAUAUAGUUGAGAUAAGUUAAUAUGGGCUAACAUCUGCCGACUGAGUGUCUCUUGUUCCAUCCAUCAUACAUCCUUUUCAUAAAUGGCUGCUGAUUAAAAAUCUUUUAUGUGCAUAUAAAUUGGCCCAACUAGCCUCGUACUCAUGUUAAGAUUUCAAUGGAAUAAAAAUUCUUUGAAAUCUUAACAGAAACGAGGCUAGUUGGGCCAAUUUAUAUGACCUUAUAUGCACAUAAAAGAAUUUUUAAUCGGCAGCCAUUUAUGAAAAGGGUGUAUUGUAUUUCGCUCUGCAUGUCUAUAACCCCAGGGGAUAGCUUGUUAGUGAAAACAUAAGCUGUUAAUUCAUGAGGGUUGUGUAGUUGUUACCAAAACUAUUUUAAUUUGUGCUUUUUUCCUCAAAAGGAAGGAGACACAGACUUGACUACCUGGCUACAAAUGAGGCCCGCUGACAUACUGUAUCAGGGCUGAUCAUGACAUGGAGCUACUGGCAACAUUCGAGAAUAGCGAAACCGUAAAAGCCAUCGUUUACUUCCUGGCGUUGUUCUACUGUACCUGCUCGACGUAAGACUACCCAUCCACUCAUCCAGACUCAGCAGUCUGACAUGGUAAAGGCUUUUCAAGAAAUUGAACAAUAUUGCUACGUGUGAGAACUUUUACAUUUAUCUAUCAGUAAUUACUU
rnacentral:lncRNA from 1 species